rnacentral:lncRNA from 10 species
GCUAAUUCCUCACCCCUAAGGGCAGUGAUGGAAAGAUAUCUCUUCUCUAGGGCUUCAGGAUCCCACUGAAGAGUGGUCUUGGACAGAGCCCUCAGUUUCCGAGUAAAGAACCAGACCAUCAAGGGAAGCAGGGAGGGAAAAGAAGGGAGAAAUCCCAGUAAAGUCCUGUACGCACAACCGAGGUGCCUGGCGAGGUGUCGGAGCCCCAGCCUCGGGAAGGGGCCGACUCGAGGGCUGGUAACCAGGAGAAGCUGUUGCAACCACCAAGGGAGGGUGUUUCCUCAGGCCGAGAGCUUAUUGGGAGCUUCGGAGCUACGAACCACAGCAAGCUGCAGGGCAGGCAACUGACCUUUGUCACCCAGGAGUCCAGGGGAUAAGGGCCACCUGGCCACGUGGCCAGGCCGUUCCAGCCAAGGCCAGCAGCAGCAGUGCCCUGGGAGUGGCCUCUCGCAGCUGUGAAACGGGAGCUGAGGGCACCACCUGCUCAGCUCAGCCGCCUUUCUGGGCCCUGGGGUGGGCCUGGGCUGGCAGGAUGGGGCGUGAAGUCCGGGUCAGGACCCGGGACUGGCCUGCCUUGCCCUCCUGGGCAGGACUGACCUGGGGUUGUCUUAGUUCCCCAGAU